AAGCAAAAUUCACCAAGCGUUGGAUUGUUCACCCAUGCAAGGGAACGUGAGCUGGGUUUAGACCGUCGUGAGACAGGUUAGUUUUACCCUACUAAUGACAAAACGUUGUUGCGACAGCAUUCCUGCGUAGUACGAGAGGAACCGCAGGUACGGACCAAUGGCACAAUACUUGUUCGAGCGAACAGUGGUAUGACGCUACGUCCGUUGGAUUAUGCCUGAACUGCAAUGAUAAAUAAGGGGCAAUUUGCAUUGUAUGGCUUCUAAACCAUUUAAAAAUUAUAAUUUAUUUUAUAAACGACAAUGGAUGUGAUGCCAAUGUAAUUUGUAACAUAGUAAAUUAGGAGGAUCUUCGAUCACCUGAUGCCGCGCUAGU
rnacentral:ncRNA from 1 species